rnacentral:lncRNA from 1 species
AAGCCCCUCAGACCGAUCUGCCCUUCAUGGGAGUGCUAGCUCGUGCAGUCAGCUUCUGAUGGCAGAUCUGACUUGAUCUCCUUCUUCGAUCAUCUCGAACCUUUCUGAUAUUGAAGAUGGAUUAGAAGAAGAUGCUGGAUGGUGGAGAAAAAUUAGAUGAAAACUUUCUUCUCUUUGAUUUUUUCCUUACCUAAGAACCUAGAACAGUUCUAGGUCUCUCACCCA